GACGUAGGGCGCGAGCGUUGUCCGGAUUUAUUGGGCGUAAAGAGCUCGUAAGUGGUUUGUCGCGUUGUUCGUGAAAACUCACAGCUUAACUGUGGGCGUGCGGGCGAUACGGGCAGACUGGAGUACUGCAGGGGAGACUGGAAUUCCUGGUGUAGCGGUGGAAUGCGCAGAUAUCAGGAGGAACACCGGUGGCGAAGGCGGGUCUCUGGGCAGUAACUGACGCUGAGGAGCGAAAGCGUGGGGAGCGAACAGG
rnacentral:rRNA from 1 species